AGCAGUCUGUUCCUGCAUCAGCCUUCUGUUCCUGCUCCUUGCCUUGGGUUCAAACAAUUGGAUAGAGAAUUUAAUCACCAAUUUUGGUCUGUGGAAAGUGUGUGUAAACACAAUAUGUACCACAUAUAGUAUGGAUGUGGUGCCAGCCUAUCUGCAUGCCACCCGAGCCUUCCUGAUUCUGGGGAUGAUUGCUGGAGCUGUCUCUUUUGGUGGCCUUUGCAUCAUGUUUGGUCAAUCCAAGAUUGGCAAUAUCUCCUUGAGCUUGGUAUCAUGUAUUGCCAGCUUUACUGCAGAUUUGUGCCAAGAAAACUUGAACUGAAAAGAACUUCAAAAGCAGGCAGAGUGUAGGAUCUGGAAUGGUGGUAUGUGUGAAAUUUUUCAAAUUAUUUGAUAAAGAGUUCUUUAAAACAAACAUAUGGGCAUCUUACAGAUGACCGCCCAGGAGAAAAUUCUCUUGAGUUCAACAGAACUCAUGUCCCAAUAUACUGGUUGAAACCUUACUCUUAUGAACUGUUUUUUAAUACUUGGAAUUUGGAAUGGCGGCAGGGGGGAGUUUUCAAAUUACUAGUGUAGAGUGCUUUCAAAACAAACAAACAAACAUAUAGGCUUUGAAACCCUUCAUUUCAUGAAGUUCUAUUUUUUUAAAAAAUGGUAGUGUUAUCUACCAUCUCAGGAGAUGGUAGCACCUACCUGUCCUUGGAUGAUCUCAAAAAAUUAAGUAAAAUUGAAUCUGCCUAAUAUUUGAUUGGGAAAUCACCCCAAAAUCCCAGAGAUGUAGGCUAGAUGGGGAAGUUGAAAAGGCAUUCCAAAAGAAGACCAAUCACUUACUAUUGUUGCCAAGACUGCAACAAUAUGGACAGGUCU